ensembl:lncRNA SNAP25-AS1 SNAP25 antisense RNA 1
AUAAAUCAAGUCCGCGGGGCAUGGAGGCUGCUGUCGCUGCAGCAGCUCAGCUUGCCCGGGGCGGGAACUCCCCCUUUCUCCUUUCGCCUCCCCAGCACCCACACCCUGUCUCCCCCUUAAUUCUUCCCUGGAUAAUAGCACCCUAACGACAACAGUCAUAAUAAUAGGGUUAGAACGACAGGGGAGGAAAACUCAACAGCCUAAAUAUCUCUGAAAACUGCAUCGCAAAAUGGAAGAAAGAGGGGGUCCCACUACUGUUUCAAAAGAGAGCCAUGGAAGUCAAAUGCUGAGGAUGGUGGCAUCAUAGGAUGAAUGGAGCUGGGUUCUUGAAACACUGCCUGGAGGAAAGACAGCAAAAAUGCCUCAUGAAUCCAACUGGACUGUUAGGAUGCUCACCCUUGGAGACCAGCAACAAUGUGUGCAGAAACCCAGGCCAUGUGGAGAGGCCCCACAUACGUGUCCAACUGAGGUCCCAGCUGACAGCUGGCAUUGACAUAAUGUUCACUCUGGGGGAAGCCAGCUGCCACGCUGUAAGGACACUCGGGCAGUCCUAUGAAGAGGCCCGUGUGGUGAGAAAGAGAGGCCUCCAGCCAACAGCCAUGUGAGUGGGCCAUUGAGGAAGCAGCCUCAGUGCCUGCAGCCCUGACUGGCAUCCUGAACUACCACCUUAAAUGAGACCCUGAGCCAGAGUCACUACUUCCAAAUUCUUGACCCACAGAAAUUGUGAAAUAAUAUUUGUUGUUUUAAGCCGCCAAGUUUUGGGAGUAAUUUGUUAUAUAGCAAAAGAUAAUUAAUACAUUCACUUCCUAAGAUUAUGGUGAAGAAUUAAGGAUACAGCAUGAAAAGAACUUUGCUAUUAUUUUUAUUAUCUGAUCCAAUUUAUGUUGAAGGGCCUUCAGUACUUUCUUCUUUUACUCUAUCUUGACAUUUGUCUGAAACAUUUUUGUUUGUUUGUUUGUUUGUUUGUUUGUUUUUUAGAGAUGGGGUCUUGCUAUGUUUCCCAGUUGGAGUGCAGUGAUUAUUCACAGACAUGAUCCCACUACUGAUCAGCAUGGGAGUUUUCACCUGCUCCAUUUCCCACCUGGGAGGUCAUCAUAUUGAUGGCGAGCUAAGUGUGGACACCUGAUCAGCAUAGCACAGUACAGCCCAGAACCCCUGGGCUCCAGUGAUCCUCUUACUUCAGCCUCUUGAGUAGCUGGAACUACAGGCCUGCACCACUGCACCCGGCUAGUUUGUUUUUGUUAGAGUUUUGUCUCUAGGAUUUUCCUCAGCUGAGUAUGUGAAGGCUAACUUCUCCUUGUGAAUCUGCAAAUAUCCUUAUUUUACCCUUUAUUUUACCAUGUAUCAUUUACAGGUAAAUGAUAUCUUAGCUGUGUAUUGAAUUUCUGUUUUUUGUUUUUUCUUCAGUACUCUAUAAAUAUUACUCCAGUAUCUUCUAGCUUCUCCCAUUUUCUCCUAGUGAAUGGUUAUUCUGCUCUUAUCUAGCAGGUGAUAAAUCUGUCAACAGAUAGUUUUUCCUUUUUGUUUUAUGUGUAAGUUGUUAUUUCUUCCUUAAAGUUCAUAAUCUUUUCCCAUUUAUUCUCUAAAUUUUAGACUAUAACCAGGAUGUGUUUAGGUUGAUAUCUUUGCUUAUCUAUUCUGCCUGGAAAUCAGGAACCUCUUCCAAUAUUCAGACUUGUGUUUUCAGCUCAGAAUAAUUAUUUUAUCAUUUGUUUGAUUAUUCCUUUAGUUGCACUGGAUCUUAGUUAAAAUGCCCAUUCUGAUUCAAAGUAUCUGGAAGGCAAGUAUUUGUCAACUAAGGGAAAGGUGACCAUGCAUCAUUGGUUUUGCUGAGACUACCUGGUUUACACCUUCAGGCUUUAUACUUAGAAAAUAUUGCGAUCAUCUUCUGGUCAUGAAGUUACAAACUUCAGGACAAAGGCUAACCAGCUAAGACUAGCAGAGCAAAUUCCAAGAACUUGGGGCUUUAAUUAACUUGAAUUGAUUUGGACUUGCCCUACCUUUAACUUCACACUGAGAUAAAAAUUCCCCACAUUUUCAAGCCAUUUUUGAGAUGAGUCUCUUAUGGUUGAAAGCAUCCUAAUUUAUACAACAUCCUUUUGGUACCUAACUAAAUAUUCACCAAUAUUUGGCACAUUUGUUAAAUCUUUUGGUGUGUGCCUCUUCUAUGUAAUGUAAAUAUGGUCUGAAUAUCCAUUCAGAAAUUAUAGUUGAUUUGCAAAAAUAACUACUAUAUCACCUAUAUUAAUUGAUAGUUAUUCCUUCCCAACCUUCUUUCACUCUUCCAUAUAUAUACAGAGUAAAUCUACAUCAUUAUGUUGAUUAAACAAAAUAGCAGUGAAAUCAGGAUGUUACUGCUCAUUGUGCAUUUAUUUCAAUUAUGGAAAAAGCCAACACUUUACUCCCUUAUUUAACACUUCUGUAGAAAAGCAGUUGAAAUAACCUAGUGUCAUUCUAAAAUGAUUUGUAUACUAUGUAGACCAGAAUCUAGGGCUAUACCUAAAAAUACAUAAAUGAAAUUAUUCUAGAAGUUAAAUCUUCAUGAAAAAACAAAUUAAAUGGUUUACUAACCUCAAGCUGAUUAAAUGUUUUUAUUAAAUGCAGCCUCAGCCAGCACCUCUUUUCAUGGCUGCAAUAAUUAAGUAUAAUAAAUAUUCAAAUCAGUAAUUGAAUUUGUUAAAAAAAACAUGCUCAGCUCAGUGAAGACUUUCUAAUAAAUAGAAUUCAGGUACCAUAUUUUCAUACUUCAUGACACUUGCCUCAUCUUAGUUUGAUGACUGCCGUUUCUUGCACUGUAACAAGAUUUUAUUUUUAUUUUGUUUUACGCUAUUCAAACAAAUACAUUCAAAGUCAUAGGCUACACCUAUGUAUAACCAUAUUCUGAGAGUUGGCUUAUGUGUUUGUUUAUUUUCUCACAAUUAAAGAUAGGUCAGAUGUUGCCAAAUUAGUAAAUAACUAAACUUGAGAUGGGAAAUACUCUAGAGACACAAUCUGCUUAGUUUUGCAUAGUUUUGCAUAGUUUUAGUCACUUUUCCCGUUACUCUGUCCAGCUUUCCAGUAAUACUCAUAACAUUGCCUUGAUUUCAUAUGACCACGCAGUAAAGUGAUUACUGCACUUAGAAUUUUGUUGCUUUUGCUGUGCUAACAACUUAAAAGUUUAAAAUAACUGAUGUUCAAAACAGUGAAGAUUUCCUUUUAUAAACAAGUUGGAAAGGAAAGUUUUUAUGUUAUUAUCCUCAAGUAUUCUAACUAAUAUAAAAUGUCUUUCAGUCUUUUAGGCAAACCAUUUAGACAAAAAGUACAAAUAAUAA